CAAGGUUGGAGUUUAACUCUGCAGGGCAGCGGCUUUCCAGGACCGGAGUUCGCCACCCCUGCUAUAGAGUGUCGUAGUGACCACCUUUUUGCAGUAAAGGACCUGUCAUAGUUUGAUGAGUGGGAAGAUGACAUGAAGCGACACGAGCUCUUCUUCACUGAUCACCAAACUCUUCCUCAUCUGGGUCAGGUUAAUGUGACGGGGGUAAAAACCAGUGGCCAGACAGCUGAUCUGAAGCCCUUGAGAGUCUGAGAGCGUCUUCUUAAUGAGUCUGACUCUGGGUUUCACUACAGAGAAGGAUGAGAAGUGUUACUGUCGGUACCUCCGCAAGGUUUUCAUGCAAACAGGAUGAUAAACAUGUUCAUACAUAUACUUUAUACGAAGAUGUUUCACUUG